UACGUAGGGGGCAAGCGUUGUCCGGAAUCAUUGGGCGUAAAGAGCGCGUAGGCGGUCCGGUAAGUCGGUUGUGAAAACUGGGGGCUCAACCCUCAGAGGCCGACCGAUACUGCCGGGCUAGAGUCCGGAAGAGGCGAGUGGAAUUCCUGGUGUAGCGGUGAAAUGCGCAGAUAUCAGGAGGAACACCAAUGGCGAAGGCAGCUCGCUGGGACGGUACUGACGCUGAGGCGCGAAAGCGUGGGGAGCAAACAGU
rnacentral:rRNA from 1 species